CGGAAAACUAACAGUGAAUCCAGGACGGGAACUCACUCAGUUACAGGAUGAGAGCAUCAUUCGUUGACAAACCCCAGUUGGCCAGAGGGCACUUAAGAGUCAACCACAUUGCUGUGGGCCUGGAGUCACGUGUAGGCCUGCAGAUUUCCUUCAUUAAUGCACCAGAUAUCUUCGCUUAACUGGUUCCCCAUCCACCACUUUCAACAUUCACUCUCUCUUCACCAUUGGUGCUCUGUGGACCAUCUAUCUUGCAGCAACACAGCAAGUCUCCUCCAAAACUACCCUCAAAACCCAUUAACCCUUGAAGGAUGAGGGCAGUAGAAGCACUGGAACACCACCAAGAGCUCCAUUCCAAGCCACUCGCCGUCCCAACUUGGAAAUAAAUCAGUGUCGUUGGGUCAAAAUCCUGGAAUUCCGUCUCUAACCAAACUGUGGGUGUACCCACAUUACAAUGCAUGGCAAUGGCUCAUACAAACGGAACUGAGGUUUAGGGGGUGAAGAGCAUCAAGUUUCACAGAGUGACAAUAACAGACAACCCGUCCUGGACUUCCCACGUGGAUGCGACAGUCAGGGAGGCACAGCAACGCCUCUCCUUCCUCAGGCAGCUCAGGAAAUUUGUCAUGUCCAUACGGUUCCUCACCAACUUGUAAAGUUGCACCAUUGAAACCGUACAGUCCAGGUGUAUAACGGCCUGGCACGGCAUCUGCUCUGCCCAGGACUGUAAGAAGCUACAGAAGGUGAUGUGCACCUCCCAGACCAUCACAGAAACCAACCUUCCAUCCAUGGACUCUACUUACACGGCUCGCUGCCGCAGAAAGGCAUCCAACAACAUCAAAGACCCAUCGCACCCCAGUAAUGACCCCCUAAUCCUCUUCCAUCAGGCAGAAGCUACAGAAGCCUGAACACAUAUGCCAGCAGCUUCAGGAACAGCGUCUUUCCGGCCAUUAUCAGACAGUUGAAUGGACUCAAACAAUGUAUUCUGCAAUGUAACCUGUAUGCCUCUAAGUCUUUGGAUCUGUACAUCCCUUCCUUGCAGUAAUCUGCCUGUACUGCUUGUAAACAAAGGUUUUCACUGUAUUUCAGUACACAUGGCAAUAAAAUCAAUCAAAUCAUACAAACAAGGCACAAGAGUAUGCCACUUGGCCCUCGAGCCUGCUCUGCCAAUCAAUAAGUUCUUUGUAGAACCCCUAAAG